GAUGAACGCUGGCGGCGUGCUUAACACAUGCAAGUCGAACGAAGAUGCCGGAGUGCUUGCACUUUGGCAGACUGAGUGGCGGACGGGUGAGUAACGCGUGGGUAACCUGCCUUAUACAGGGGGAUAACAGUUGGAAACGACUGCUAAUACCGCAUAAGCGCACGGUAUCGCAUGAUACAGUGUGAAAAACGCCGGUGGUAUAAGAUGGACCCGCGUCUGAUUAGCGGGUUGGUGAGGUAACGGCUCACCAAGGCGACGAUCAGUAGCCGGCCUGAGAGGGUGAACGGCCACAUUGGGACUGAGACACGGCCCAAACUCCUACGGGAGGCAGCAGUGGGGAAUAUUGCACAAUGGGGGAAACCCUGAUGCAGCGACGCCGCGUGAGUGAUGAAGUAUUUCGGUAUGUAAAACUCUAUCAGCAGGGAAGAUAAUGACGGUACCUGACUAAGAAGCACCGGCUAAAUACGUGCCAGCCGCCGCCGUAA
rnacentral:rRNA from 1 species